ACCCGCGGUCCCGCAGCGGCGCGCGGCUGACGCUCCCUCAGCGAUCCGGCCCUCCGCGGCUCCUGCGCGACCCCACGCAAAAGCGCCCCGUGCGAAGAGCGCGGCCAGCCAGUCCGCAAAGGGCCUCGGGCAGUGCGGGCAGCACGAACGGCGCGAUCGGGGAGCAGGCGCGGCUACGCUCCGCCUCAGUGAUGUCGCCGGGAGGAUCUCCGCGCGGCUACCUCCUCUUCCGCCGCCUUCCUCCCACGCCUUCACCUCCCUCCCCCGCCGCGCUCUGCGGCGAAAAGGAGCGGGCUCCCAGGCCACCUCCCCUCUCUCCACCCAGGGGCCGCGCGUCAGUGGACCUGCAGCCCAGGCAACGGGGCUGCGGACGGCGCGCGUGCCCUGCCUCGCCUCACGCCGGUAGCUGAUGCUCCCGCGGCAGCUGCCACCCCAGCGCCCCAGCCACGGCUUCAGAGGCUCUCGCACGCUGGCUUUUUUUUUUUCCCCCCGCUUUGGUGAACUCGCAGUACUUGGGCUGAGCCCGAAAUCUCGCGAGAUGCUGCAGGCGUCAGUGCGGCUUCCCACUAGGCGCGUGGUACCCGAGGCCGGGCCGGAGCCGCAGGCCAGCCGCGAUUCCUUCGGGCGAUGCUGGGGGCUUUCCGGUCGGGGCCGCAGCCGCUUCCGGAGCCGCGGGCGAGGUGCGUUCCCCAGCCUGGUUUGCUCUGGGCUCUGACCCGCCGCCGCGAAUCUCCGCUCGUAACUCCGGGCCUGAACCUGGAGGAGGGAGGAUUUCCUCUGUGCAGCUUUCGAGCGGUAGACUCACCCUGCCAGGCAGACCUAGAUUGGCAUAACCAGAGAUCAGUUCCAGUUGUGAUGCAGUGGGUGUCUACACACUUCUGAUGACACCUUUAUUUUAAAAGCUGAUGUUCCAAGUAGAGUCGGGGUUUCACCGUGUUAGCCAGGAUGGUCUCGAUCUCCUGACCUCGUGAUCCGCCCACCUCCGCCUCUCCAAGUGCUGGGAUUACAGGCAUGAGCCACCGCGCCCGGCCCUUGUAUUUUUAAACUUUGACUUUAUGGAGACGAACACCAUCGUUUGCUGAACACUUGAAACAUGAUGAAAGAGCCACAGAGUUGGCAGAACUGUUUGAAAAUGCUGUGCAAGCGGUCUUCUCUGUCUUCUUUAUGGCCAGUAAAAUUCUCCAGAAGAGAUUUAUGGCAGCCUCACUCCCAGUAGUUUCUGCAUUUAGUGAGAUAAGAUGGAAUCUUGCUCUCUUGCUCAGACUGGAGUGCAGUGGCAUGACCUUGGCUCACUGCAACCUCACCUCUCGGGUUCAAGCGAUUCUGCCUCAGCCUCUCGAGUAGCUGGGACUACAGGUGGGAGACCUCCACAGAACCCUUCCAGCAAGCUGUCUUCUAAAGCAAACAAGAAAAGGAAAGUCUGAGCAGUUUUGAUUAGAUUUCCCAGAAGUCAAAGCAAGGAAAAAUGAAAAAGCUUCAUUUCUCACGUUCUUAAAAGAGAGCACAGAUGUUGCAUCAUCUGGUUAGAUACCCUGAGAAUAAAAUCUGGAUCCAGUGAGAGGAAAGAUUCUGGGUGCUCAUGAAAAAAGAAACAAAACAAAACUUGGGAGCCUCUUGAGAGUGUACAGCAUCAGCCCUUGCCAACUCUUGUUUAUAUGCAUUUAACUUUCAGUUAACCAUGGGAAUAAUUCAUGAAAAUCCAAUCUACAAACAAAGGCCAUCCUAACGUUCAUGUUAUUCUUUUCCCUAAGAAUCUUUCACAAGAGCUAUAAUCAAGUAGAAUUAUGCUUUGAUUUGAAUUCUAAUUCAAUUGAAAAUAAAAAAUGAGGGCCGGACGCGGUGGCUCAUGCCUGUAAUCCCAGCGCUUUGGGAGGCUGAGGUGGACGGAUCACGAGGUCAGGAGAUCGAGACCAUCCUGGCUAACACGGUGAAACCCGAUCCCUACUAAAAAUACAAAAAAUUAGCCGGGCGUGGUGGCAGGCGCCUGUAGUCCCAGCUACUCGGGAGGCUGAGGCAGGAGAAUGGCGUGAACCCAGGAGGCAGAGGUUGCAGUGAGCCGAGAUCAUGCUACUGCACUCCAGCCUGGGCGACAGAGCGAGACUCUGUGUAUAAAUAAAUAAAUAAAUAAAUAAAUAACGAAAAGGUUGCCAUUGCCCUUUCUGGGGAAAGUGAUAAUGAGGAAAGACUAGUUUCUUAACCCAAGUCAGCUUUAGAGUCGGCAAGGAUGCAAUUUGAGGUGAUCCAGGAAAACUCUAUUAGCAUGGUAUAAGCCUGGUUUUGCAGUAUAUACAGCAAGCCAUAGGAAGUUUCAUUGGAAGCGUUGUGGAACUCAUUGAGAGUUGAAUGGAAGAAAGAACCUAUAGCAGAAAUUUCCAG
rnacentral:lncRNA from 1 species